rnacentral:lncRNA from 1 species
CGGUGUAUAGAUAUUAGGAUGAAGGUACGGAUGGUUAUUAGAGAACAACUUGCACUGAGCGUAACCAAUACAAGAACCGCAUGAAUGUCUACUCACUCGUCAGUAGUUUUCUCGAUGCUGCAGUGGUGUGAGUGGUCAUUUAACUUGCGGUGUCGUUGGCUAUUCGCAGUGAGGCUACUGGGUUUGACUGCACGUUCUCUUGGCCCCUAGCCAUUUGGGUCCUUGCUGUAUAUGUUG